AUUGAACGCUGGCGGCAGGCCUAACACAUGCAAGUCGAGCGGAGCGGCGGACGGGUGAGUAAUGCCUAGGAAUCUGCCUGGCCGUGGGGGAUAACGUCCGGAAACGGGCCCUAAUCCCACAUCCUAUCAGAUGAGCCUAGGGCGGAUUAGCUAGUUGCUGGGGUAAAGGCCUACCAAGGCGACGAUCCGUAACUGGUCUGAGAGGAUGAGCAGUCACACGGGAACUGAGACACGGUCCAGACUCCUACGGGAGGCAGCAGUGGGGAAUAUUGGAAAAGGGGCGAAAGCCUGACGCAGCCAUGUCGCGUGUGUGAAGAAGGUCUUCGGAUUGUAAAGCACUGUAAGUUGGGAGGCGUUACCAACACAGUAAGCCCCGGCUAACUUCGUGCCAGCAGCCGCGGUAAUAC
rnacentral:rRNA from 1 species